UUCAGGAACUGAAACAGGAAGUUGGGGGACUCCAUGAGUUUGAAGAGGUACCAUAACACAUUCCCUACAGUAAUUAGGGCUUCCCUUAACAAAGCCAAGGCUGGCACCUGGGUAGAUGUUCUUUGUUGAUUACGAAGUCUUAAUGUGGACUAGCUUCAGAAGCUUCUCAGAGCCAAACCGUCAUCUCUUUGCCUUUCUGCUACGAAGACCACACUCCCAUCCAGGCCACCCACCAGGUUCCAUUUGGUGGAACCCCCACCAAGGACACCUUUAGCUGUUGAUUGCUUUAUAGAAUAACCGGGCUGGAUGACAGCCCUGAGCAGUUUGCCAGUGUGGUCUAGUUUUCUAGGUUUCCCUGGUGAGUCAACAGGAAUGUAUCUACUUGUCUCUGGGAAUUGCAGUUCUACAUCAUCACCUAAAGUCUUCCAGAUUUUCCUGAAGAGAGGCAAAUGUGUAAAACACAACUGAAAGCUGACUGUUGAAUUAACAUCGUGGUGAACAAGAUCUUGGAUGUGAGUCAUGGAAAUGAACCUGAACUGAGAGUUGCUUUCCAAAGACUAUCUCACCACUGGGAUUCAGGCUGAACAAAGGAGUUAGAUUCAGUGAGUUC
ensembl:processed_transcript Gm12609 predicted gene 12609